UGCUCAGACUUUCCACUGCUGUUCCAUUCGAAGAGCGCAAUUCCAAGCAUCGCAUGUUCGCAUAUGACUCAUUCCCGCCGUCACAACCAUUUUUUUUUCCAGUGGCUAUCGGUAACCUCAACCCGCUUAGCGGGUAAUCCCGGUGAAGGCCCGACAUUGACCGCACACAAAGGAACUACUUAUACAGAUGUGUUCGUGCAUAAUUACAACAAAGCAGAGAUAUCUGGACAUUAAUGUGUGCAACAACGUCAUUUGGGUAUUACUGAUCUUGACGUAAUAUCGCAUGCAUCUCUGCUGUAUUUGAAUG
rnacentral:sRNA from 1 species